rnacentral:rRNA from 1 species
UACGUAGGGGGCUAGCGUUGUCCGGAUUUAUUGGGCGUAAAGAGCGUGUAGGCGGCCAGGUAGGUCUGGUGUGAAAACUCGAGGCUCAACCUCGAGAUGUCGGCGGAAACCGUCUGGCUAGAGUCCGGAAGAGGAGAGUGGAAUUCCUGGUGUAGCGGUGAAAUGCGCAGAUAUCAGGAAGAACACCUAUGGCGAAGGCAGCUCUCUGGGACGGUACUGACGCUGAGACGCGAAAGCGUGGGGAGCGAACAGG